rnacentral:misc_RNA from 1 species
UAGGUGCUGAUAAUUCAUCAAACAUAGAGACCAAUGAGGUAGAGCAAGAAAAAUCUGAAGAAACUCCUGUUGAAGAAGAACCAAUGGAAGCAGAAUUUGAAAAAGAAGAAAUUGGGAUCAGUGGUUUGUCAGUGAAGAAAAACGCAUUUUGCAACGAUAGCAACGGUGUAGUUUCACAUGAUAUCGUGACGUAACACUGUAGCACUCUAUGGUAGAACCAGCCCCUGAAAGAGCUCCAAUUGAAUGUCCGUCAAUUAAAAUAACACCGCCUGUUGAAGAGACAAAACCGGCGGUCACUGAAGAACAGCCUAUGGAGACGUCCCAGGCUGUAAAACCUAUAGAUACUUCACCCCAGGGAACGACAACAUUGCCAGACGCUGAUCAAACCGAUGAGCCUAAACCCACUGAUUCCAGGCCUGGCACUAAUACUGUUGAACAAGUGUCAGUAGUUAGUGCGGAACAGGGUAGGAAUCAACGUGUUCUAAUAAUAUCUAUUUUUUGAUUUCUUUAUUUUAUUUUUAGUUACUCUAUUACUUUGGAGAAUUGCAUGUGUUUGUGCAUAUAUGUUGCUGCUUUUAAUGCCUGUAGCUUUUACUACCAGCUAACCUUUUGCAUUUUUUAACAUAACACUAAGAAAGACUUUGACUCCCACCAGGCAUGAAUCAAGCCUGGCCCAAGUCAUGCCAGGGUUGCACAUGUCAGGGUUUUCACACCAAAUGGCUUAUGGAAUGUUUACUGUAGUUCACAGAUUCCAGUGCUGUAUUAUUAUUAUUAUUAUUAUUAAUGAUAAAAAAUACCUUCAAAGUCCCAAUUAUUUCCUUGUUGUAGCUUUGGUGGACAGCUUCAAUAAUGAAAUUGUGGCUUUACUUGGUCUCAUGGCAAGAAAGCAAAAUACAUACAGUAUGUCAAGUAUUGAAAUACACACCAUUGUGUUGGGAUUCAAUAUUUCAACAGUAAUUGUGUUUUCAUCAGGAAUGGUCUCAUGACCACUU